rnacentral:lncRNA from 1 species
UGAGCGUGGUUCAGUUGUAGUUUAUUACCCUAAACACUACGAAUUGCCAAUCAUGGUGCGUUCGCAUCCAUCGCUCUUCCGUCGUCUGGUGUUCUCUUUCUUUCCCGCUUUUUUAUUUUGUUGUUCAAUUUUAAACUGUCAAGACAUCGCGCGUAUCUCAAAAUUCUAAUCCAUCACUCUUUAUUUUAUUUUGUUGUUCAGUAUACACUGUAUAUUUGUACUCUUAGAUGAGCAUUGGACUUAUGAUGUGAAUCUACAUACACUGUAUAUUUUAUAUGAUUUUUUUGUUCAAUAGACUUGUCCUUGCAACGAUUGUGAAAGAUUGGGCUUUGCAUUUCGUGACCCUAUCCGAGUAUAUGAUUAAUGCAACACCCCAUAGAACAAUGAAGUAACGUAUUCAUAUGAGCUCCCGCGCCUCAGCAGUAUUUUUUUAAUUAUACAUGAGCAUUCGACCUCUGAUGUGAAUCUACGUACAUGUUUGUAUAACCUUACUUCAGAUCAAUUCAUCUCGAAAUUGUUCCUGAUGAAGCAAUUUCAUCUAGAAGUAGGCAGAGGAAGAGAAAUUAAGCACAAACUUUGUUUGGGUUCAAACUAUUGCGUAAUAAUGGAUUAGAAGGAAAUCUAAACGUCUUGGAACGCAAGAUAGGCUUACAAAUAAUACUCAAGGUUUAUUCUUACAGUUUAGGUUUACAUAGAAUCACCCAUACAAAUUAUAAGAGACAAUAUAUUUUUAUAUAAUUUCAGUAUCAUUCUUUCAAAUAUUUUUACUUUUGACACUCUAUUUAUAUAUAUAAUUUUUAGUAUCAUUCUUUCUUUUUUUUUUUUUAACAAAGGAUCUAAAAUAAAUAUUAAUAGAAGGCACUUUAUCAACCAAAAAUCAAUGAAAUUACAAUUAUGACCUUUACUACAUAACUCAAAAAUGUGAGAAAAGGAAAAAAAAUGGGGCAUUAAAGUAAUUUUGAACAAACUACUUUUUGUUGUUUUUUCUAAACCUCACGGUCAUGUUGCCCUAUCAUUACCCUCUAAACUCACUCUCUCUCUCUUUCUCUUUCUUUCUUUUUUUUAAAGAAAAGAACUUCAUUAAAGGGAGAAA